rnacentral:rRNA from 1 species
UACGUAGGUGGCAAGCGUUGUCCGGAUUUAUUGGGCGUAAAGAGCUCGUAGGCGGUUUGUCGCGUCUGCUGUGAAAACUCAGGGCUUAACCCUGAGCUUGCAGUGGGUACGGGCAGACUAGAGUGCGGUAGGGGAGACUGGAAUUCCUGGUGUAGCGGUGAAAUGCGCAGAUAUCAGGAGGAACACCGGUGGCGAAGGCGGUUCUCUGGGCCUUACCUGACACCGUGAGGUCGCGAAAGCCAGGGGAGCGAACGGG